AUGCUGAGAAAUAAGGUUCUGAGCCACAGCGAGGAGCUAAAGCUGAAGAAGGAGUUAGGGGUGCUACGCAAUGAGGCCCAGUGUGAAUUCCUACAAAUGAAGCAGCUGUUUUUCAACUCCCACACAACCAGCAGCACACAGGCCCAACCACCAGACUCUCUCCACACACUGGAGUCAUCAGGACUGAUGGAAGAGGCUACAGAGGGACCCUGUGGCACAUCGGACACACCCCAAAAUAGGACCUCACAGAUGUCUGCAGGGUCAGUCAGCCUGUUGGAGUUCCAUGCAGAUCUGCUACAAUCCCCACCUGCCUCCUUACCACAAAGUGCACUCCUACUAGACAUCCCUAAAACAAAGUCUGAGGUGAGCGGGAGUCAAGGAACCAUACUUAUCAAAGGAAUCAGUGAAGGGAGAAAUUCAGUUAGUUUGGUCCUGUCUCCUCCAGGCCAGAAACCUUCCCAGAAGCCGGCCAUAGCUCAGCUAGCAGGGACUACCAAAGUGGUGUCCAUGUCCAUGAGGCCACAGCCUCCCUCUAAGCCCAGGUCAGAGAGGCCAGCAACAAGGACCAGGAAGUUUAUAUACAAGAGCAAGAAGGAGUCAGAGCAGGUGUCGGAGAAGGAAGCGGCGGAGAGGUGCAUCCGGAGCUCGGACAACACCGAUGACAGCAGGAACAGUGAGGACUCUGGCUCCGAGCAAUCCCACGGGAAAGCCCCACAGAAGGUCAAGAAAAAGAAAAGGAGGAAACAGAAAGAUAGGUCUACGCAUGCACCAAGGACUCCCACUGACGACAGAAGCUCAAAGAGCCAGAGGAGUACCAUGGCCCCUAACAGUAUCCACAGUGUCAAGUCCACCACAGAGCUACUGGAUGAGGCACGGGGCAUUGUAGGGGCCGAAGGUGCAGAGAGCCAGGAGGACACGGACCCCCAGCAGAGAGAUCCAGAGGAGUCAGUGGCCACGACUAUGGGGCUUGUCAGAGGCAGAGGGAGGACGGUGGAUGAGAUCGUUGCCUCCUUCCAGAGAGGGGACAGUGAUAUGCCAUCUGCCUCGGACCAGAUGAUCAAGGAGCUGAUGGAAAGAGUGCUGGGGGACAGCUAUAACACUGACAACGAGGUGACAACAUGA
rnacentral:lncRNA from 8 species